ensembl:lncRNA
GAGGCCUCAUUUAAGGCAAUGAAUUCAUUAGGCUUUAGCCACAUUUCACAUAAACCUAGUAUCAUAGCAUAGCACAUAGCAUCUAGUUUAUGAUCAGAGAUUAAUUAAUUUACUACAACUGCCUUUGGAGCAAGGGAUCUAACAUUUAGGAGUCCCAUUUUGAGAUGCGAAGUGAUACAAUCAUUUUUAUUUUUGACCGAGGUGGACCACACGAUUUCGUCUCUGCACUUUGCGGAUGAUGUUGUCGUGUUGACCCCUUCAAACCAGGACCUUCAGCAUGCCCUGGGACGGUUUGCAGCCGAGUGUGUGGCGGUCGGGAUGAAAAUCAGUACCUCCAAAUCCGAGGCCAUGGUCCUUAAUCGGAAAAGGGUGGCUGGGCCACUUCAGGUUGGUGGAGAGUUCUUGCCUCAAGUGGAGGAGUUUAAGUAUCUAGGGGUCUUGUUCACAAAUGAGGGAAGGAUGGAACGGGAGAUUGACAGACGGAUCGGUGCAGCUUCUGCAGUAAUGCGGUCGAUGUAUCGGUCUGUCGUGGUGAAGAAAGAGCUGAGCCGCAAGGCGAAGCUCUCGAUUUACCGGUCAAUCUACGUUCCUACUCUCACCUAUGGUCAUGAGCUUUGGGUCAUGACCGAAAGGACAAGAUCCCAGAUACAGGCGGCCAAAAUGAGCUUUCUCCUUAGGGUGGCUGGGCGAUCCCUUCGAGAUAGGGUGAGAAGCUCGGUCACCCGGAAGGAGCUCAGAGUAGAGCCGCUGCUCCUCCACAUCGAGAGGGGUCAGCUGAGGUGGCUUGGGCAUCUGUUCCGGAUGCCUCCUGAACGCCUUCCUGGGAAGGUGUUCCGGUCCCGUCCCACCGGGAGGAGACCCCGGGGAAGACCUAGGACACACUGGAGGGUCUCCCGGCUGGCCUGGGAACGCCUCGGUGUCCCCCCGAAAGAGCUAGAGGAAGUGUCUAGGGAGAGGGAAGUCUGGGCAUCUCUGCUUAGACUGCUGCCCCCGCGACCCGGCCCCGGAUGAGCAGAAGAAGAUGAAUGAAUGAAUGAAUGGCCAUCUUUUAUGCAGUGAUGUAAAAAGUAGAAGUAUUUGGCUGUGUGCACCAGUUUUGGGAAGUUGCUUAGGAUGAGCUAAAUUACCUAAACAGAGUUAAUAACUAACCAAUUACCAUAAUAGGCUCUGUGCACAAGCGUAUUGAUGAACUUCCGCUUUUGUCUAGAAGUCAGCAUUUCAUUUUCCCGGUUUACUUCCUGUCCUCAUCCGCAUUGGUAAACAAACAAGAUGAGUGAUGCCGUUGUGCGGAAAAAUAAAUAUAAUGUACGUGACUCAUUUAAGUGUCAAUGUACUGUGGGUGGAUCUUAUGAGCACUGUUGUGUGGCACUUUGCUCGGCUUCAGGUUGUUAUAACAGCCAUUUGAGCUUCGGUGACCCCCCACACCAAGACCAUGAAAUCCUCACUAGUGCUAAGGGGAGAUGGGGUUUUAGUAGCAGGCUCGGUUCCUUUCUUUAUUUGAGUGGAAUAAUUACAUCAAGAAGUCACAGGCCAGUAUGUGGGAGCGCCAAUCUCGACCACCAUGUCCGGAAUCUGACCCGGCGGAGCCAGACGACAUCCCGAUUGUCGUGGACCACGUCUAUGGGGCCAGCGGUACCAUAUGUGUCGACCGGGAGCAGUAUGAAAAUGUGUUGAGGGACCUUGAGGCGCUAAGAGAGCAGCUCCAAAACGUAUCAUCUUAAUAACGUCUUUGGACUAAAACGGUUUCCUUCAUCUCCUGAAGACAUCAUAUUUGACACCAGAUAAGAUAGUUGUAAGACCAACAUCUUCUCUGAUUGCGUUAAGUAAUUAUUUCCUCUUUCUUCUUAAUGCUAUUCUUGAGCUUGUAUGACAAGACAACUAAUUUCAAUUGUAAUACUGUAUUUUAUAUUUCCCUCAUACGAGCAUCUGAUGGCAUUUUGGAACCUGAUCGAGGCAGCAACAGCCAAAAUAGUUAGGGUCACCAGAGCAAAGAAAACCUAUGCCACUAGCACAACAACUGAAAGCCCUUUAACCAGACCAACUAAACUGCUGCCAAUAGAUUAUCUCUUCCUGAGGGGACAUGGUGGGCAUGUCCCCUCACUGAGCCGAGUUUUGUAUCAGCACUCUGAGGGUUCCACGAGUGACUAAGAAGUGUUUUGUCAGUCAGGAUUUACACCACUCUUAACACCUGACAUGGCCAUCUUGGUUGACAAGGGAUUCUUGGUGGAUGACCAUUUACUUGGGACUUUUCAUCGUCCUGUCUUCCUCUCCAAGAGGGCCCAAAUGUGAGAGGUGGAUGUUCUAAAGAUGCAGUCCAUUGCCUGUCUGAGGGUGCAUGUCGAGAGGAUGAUCAGAAGAGUUAAAGAAAAACUUUUUGAUACCACUAUCCCUCUCUGCAUUGCAGGGAUCAUAAACCAAAAUUCCCAAAAUUGACCCCUCGUCAAGAAAUGGAUAUGAAGUUUGAUAUUGUAGCUAUAUCUUUUUCUGAGGAAUUUGACAACUAUAUUGUUCUCUGUUAAACAUACAGUAUUCAUAAAAUAAAAGCAUAA